CUAACUCAAAUUUGUAUGGAGUUGGAACGGCUUCCCUUCGUUUGGCGUUAGGGGCGCUGUUCCAACUCCAUACACAAUUCAGUUA
rfam:Bombyx mori DNA, contig: Bm_scaf12_contig9838, strain: p50T/Dazao, build 2, whole genome shotgun sequence.